rnacentral:lncRNA from 1 species
UUCCCUCAGCCAUUCCGUCUUUAAUUUGAAAUAAAUAAAAAAGUAUUAGUUAUCUAAGUUAUUCAAUAUAAUUCAGGAGAUAAUGAAAAGAGACAUGUAACGUACUCUGAGCGUCUCUAUGGGUGUUUGAUUGACUUGUGCCAUCAUGAAUUUGCACAUGUAAUAUGCACAUAGAUUGUUCCCCCUUCUUGUCUUAAACACCACUGUAUGAUAUAUAUAUAUAAAUAUUCACGACCACGACAAUAAGAAGGCUAAAAGUUAGCGAAAGUUUGUUAGCUAAUAGAACUUACUUGUGGAUGUAUUAUGUUAAGCGGCGCUUUACAUCCAAAGAGAUGUUCACGGUCAAUGAAUCUUUCCCAAACCCUAUACACAACCAUUGUGGAUCGUGAACUAAUAAUUACAGAGUCAUAUUAUGAUAUUUUUGUAGCUGAGAUCGACAUUACGUACCUUUGAAUAAUGUUUACCAUUUGUUGAUAAUUUUCUUGUGGUUUUCUCAUUGAGUCAAAGAUUAUCAACCUGUUCUUGGGAAUUUCAAUGACCAUGAGUAUCCAGUGAAAGCUGUUUACACACACAUAUAUAUAGUCAGUCCUAUAAUGUAAAAUAAAAUAUGCAUACACUUAAUAACUAUAUAACUCACUCGAAGUUGAAGGGGAAGAGUAUUUUUUGUUUUUCUUUUUGGUUCACAAAGAACCUCAUAAGAUUGGUGCAGACUUCUGUCUCAUGAUCUGCUGUCCACACUGCCUGCGGAGCCUUGAAAACAAUAUAAGGGUCAACGAACCCAAUACUAUUGUCAUUUUUCAUUCUGAGCUCUCUCAUUUGGUGCCUGCA